UACGGAGGAUGCAAGCGUUAUCCGGAAUAAUUGGGCGUAAAGCGUUCGUAGGUGGUGAUGUAAGUCUGCUGUUAAAGCGUGUAGCUUAACUACAUAUAGGCGGUGGAAACUACAUGACUAGAGCGCGGUCGGGGCAGAGGGAAUUCCUGGUGUAGCGGUGAAAAGCGUAGAUAUCAGGAAGAACACCGGUGGCGAAGGCGCUCUGCUAGGCCGUAACUGACACUGAGGGACGAAAGCUAGGGGAGCGAAUGGG
rnacentral:rRNA from 1 species